GAGGAUUGGCUGAGCGGUUUAAAGCGGCGGUCUUGAAAACCGUUGAUGUGAAAGCAUCCGCAGGUUCGAAUCCUGUGUC
rnacentral:tRNA from 1 species